AUUGAACGCUGGCGGAAUGCUUUACACACGCAAGUCGAACGGCAGCACGGGGCAACCUGGUGGCGAGUGGCGAACGGGUGAGUAAUACAUCGGAACGUGCCCAAUCGUGGGGGAUAACGUAGCGAAAGUUACGCUAAUACCGCAUACGAUCUACGGAUGAAAGCGGGGGAUCGCAAGACCUCGCGCGAAUGGAGCGGCCGAUGUCAGAUUAGGUAGUUGGUGGGGUAAAGGCUCACCAAGCCAACGAUCUGUAGCUGGUCUGAGAGGACGACCAGCCACACUGGAACUGAGACACGGUCCAGACUCCUACGGGAGGCAGCAGUGGGGAAUUUUGGACAAUGGGGCGCAAGCCUGAUCCAGCCAUUCCGCGUGCAGGAUGAAGGCCUUCGGUUGUAAACUGCUUUUGUACGGUAACGAAACGGCGAGCUCUAAUACAGUUUG
rnacentral:rRNA from 1 species